AGCUCUAAUAGCGUAUAUUAAAGUUGUUGCAGUUAAAAAGCUCGUAGUCGAAUCUCGGCGUCAAACAGGCGGUCGGCCUAGUGUCAGACUGCUUCGGUUGUCGCUUUCUUCUGAGUGCCUGCCUCUUAAUUGUAGGUAUGGAUUUCUCAGUCGUUUACUUUGAAAAAAUUAGAGUGUUCAAAGCAGGCUAUCGCUUGAAUACAUUAGCAUGGAAUAAUGGAAUAGGACUACGGUUCUAUUUUGUUGGUUCUUAGGACCGAAGUAAUGAUUAAUAGGGACAGUUGGGGCCGUUUAUAUUCCGUUGUCAGAGGUGAAAUUCUUGGAUUUACGGAAGAUAAACUUCUGCGAAAGCAUUCGGCAAGGAUGUUUUCAUUG
rnacentral:rRNA from 1 species